rnacentral:rRNA from 1 species
AAUCAACGCUGGCGGCAGGCCUAACACAUGCAAGUCGAACGCUCCGCAAGGAGAGUGGCAGACGGGUGAGUAACGCGUGGGAAUCUUCCUAUCGGUACGGAAUAGCUCAGGGAAACUUGGGGUAAUACCGCAUACGCCUCUACGGGGAAAGAUUUAUCGCCGAUAGAUGAGCCCGCGUCUGAUUAGCUAGUUGGUGAGGUAACGGCUCACCAAAGCGACGAUCAGUAGCUGGUCUGAGAGGAUGACCAGCCACACUGGGACUGAGACACGGCCCAGACUCCUACGGGAGGCAGCAGUGGGGAAUAUUGGACAAUGGGCGCAAGCCUGAUCCAGCCAUGCCGCGUGAGUGACGAAGGUCUUCGGAUUGUAAAGCUCUUUUGGCGGGGACGAUAAUGACGGUACCCGCAGAAUAAGCCCCGGCCAACUUCGUGCCAGCCGCCGCAGUAACAC